CCUACGGGAGGCAGCAGUGGGGAAUAUUGCACAAUGGGGGAAACCCUGAUGCAGCGACGCCGCGUGAGUGAAGAAGGAUUUCGGUACGUAAAGCUCUAUCAGCAGGGAAGAAAAUGACGGUACCUGACUAAGAAGCACCGGCUAACUACGUUCCAGCAGCGGCGGUAAUACGUAGGGGGCCAGCGUAAUCCGGAUUUACUGGGUGUAAAGGGAGCGUAGACGGCAGCGCAAGUCUGGAGUGAAAUCCCAUGGCUUAACCAUGGAACUGCUUGUGAAACUGUGCAGCUAGAGUGCAGGAGAGGUAAGCGGAAUUCCUAGUGUAGCGGUGAAAUGCGUAGAUAUUAGGAGGAACACCAGUUGCGAAGGCGGCUUACUGGACUGUAACUGACGUUGAGGCUCGAAAGCGUGGGGAGCAAACAGGAUUAGAUACCCGGGUAGUC
rnacentral:rRNA from 1 species